rnacentral:rRNA from 1 species
GAUCAUGGCUCAGGAUGAACGCUGGCGGCGUGCUUAACACAUGCAAGUCGAACGAAGCUGUUGUUUGGAGACCUUCGGGUGGAAGAAUGACAGACUGAGUGGCGGACGGGUGAGUAACGCGUGGGUAACCUACCUUGUACAGGGGGACAACAGUUGGAAACGACUGCUAAUACCGCAUAAGACCACAGUACCGCAUGGUACAGGGGUAAAAACUGAGGUGGUGCAAGAUGGACCCGCGUCUGAUUAG